CCCUAGCCCCGAUUGCAGCAUUUGUUUGAGCUCAUUUCCUGUUUUUUUCGGGGCGGCGGCUUUGCCGCCGCCCCGAAAAAAACAGGAAAUAGCGAGUGCGGAAAGCGGGAAAUAGC
rnacentral:sRNA from 1 species